GUGCUCGCUUCGGCAGGCACAUAUACUAAAAAUAGA
rnacentral:snRNA from 1 species